GGCAGUGUGGUGUAGUGGUUAGAGCAUCGGGCUCAGACCUGGGAGGGGCCAGGGUUCGAAUCCCCCAUUCAGCCA